UACGUAGGGUGCAAGCGUUAAUCGGAAUUACUGGGCGUAAAGCGUGCGCAGGCGGUUUUGUAAGUCAGACGUGAAAUCCCCCGGCUUAACCUGGGAACUGCGUCUGAUACUGGAGGGCUUGAGUAUGGGAGAGGGAUGUAGAAUUCCAGGUGUAGCGGUGAAAUGCGUAGAUAUCUGGAGGAAUACCGGUGGCGAAGGCGGCAUCCUGGACCAUUACUGACGCUGAGGCGCGAAAGCUAGGGGAGCAAACGGG
rnacentral:rRNA from 1 species